rnacentral:tRNA from 1 species
GAGACGCUAGUAAAAUCCGACCAGUACACUACCUUGUCAAGGUAGAAAUGCGGGUUAAACCCCCGCGCGUCUUA